GGUUAAGUUAGAAAGGGCGCACGGUGGAUGCCUUGGCACUAGGAGCCGAUGAAGGACGGGACGAACACCGAUAUGCUUCGGGGAGCUGUAAGCAAGCUUUGAUCCGGAGAUUUCCGAAUGGGGAAACCCACCACUCGUAAUGGAGUGGUAUCCAUAUCUGAAUACAUAGGAUAUGAGAAGGCAGACCCGGGGAACUGAAACAUCUAAGUACCCGGAGGAAGAGAAAGCAAAUGCGAUUCCCUGAGUAGCGGCGAGCGAAACGGGACCAGCCCAAACCAAGAGGCUUGCCUCUUGGGGUUGUAGGACACUCUGUACGGAGUUACAAAGGAACGAGGUAGAUGAAGAGGUCUGGAAAGGCCCGCCAUAGGAGGUAACAGCCCUGUAGUCAAAACUUCGUUCUCUCCUGAGUGGAUCCUGAGUACGGCGGAACACGUGAAAUUCCGUCGGAAUCCGGGAGGACCAUCUCCCAAGGCUAAAUACUCCCUAGUGACCGAUAGUGAACCAGUACCGUGAGGGAAAGGUGAAAAGCACCCGGAAGGGGAGUGAAAGAGAUCCUGAAACCGUGUGCCUACAAGUAGUCAGAGCCCGUUAACGGGUGAUGGCGUGCCUUUUGUAGAAUGAACCGGCGAGUUACGAUCCCGUGCAAGGUUAAGCAGAAGAUGCGGAGCCGCAGCGAAAGCGAGUCUGAAUAGGGCGAAUUGAGUACGUGGUCGUAGACCCGAAACCAGGUGAUCUACCCAUGUCCAGGGUGAAGUUCAGGUAACACUGAAUGGAGGCCCGAACCCACGCACGUUGAAAAGUGCGGGGAUGAGGUGUGGGUAGGGGUGAAAUGCCAAUCGAACCUGGAGAUAGCUGGUUCUCUCCGAAAUAGCUUUAGGGCUAGCCUCAAGGUAAGAGUCUCGGAGGUAGAGCACUGAUUGGACUAGGGGCCCCUACCGGGUUACCGAAUUCAGUCAAACUCCGAAUGCCGAUGACUUAUCCUUGGGAGUCAGACUGCGAGUGAUAAGAUCCGUAGUCGAAAGGGAAACAGCCCAGACCGCCAGCUAAGGUCCCAAAGUAUACGUUAAGUGGAAAAGGAUGUGGAGUUGCUUAGACAACCAGGAUGUUGGCUUAGAAGCAGCCACCAUUUAAAGAGUGCGUAAUAGCUCACUGGUCGAGUGACUCUGCGCCGAAAAUGUACCGGGGCUAAACGUAUCACCGAAGCUGCGGACUGUUCUUCGAACAGUGGUAGGAGAGCGUUCUAAGGGCUGUGAAGCAAGACCGGAAGGACUUGUGGAGCGCUUAGAAGUGAGAAUGCCGGUAUGAGUAGCGAAAGAGGGGUGAGAAUCCCCUCCACCGAAUGCCUAAGGUUUCCUGAGGAAGGCUCGUCCGCUCAGGGUUAGUCGGGACCUAAGCCGAGGCCGAAAGGCGUAGGCGAUGGAUAACAGGUUGAUAUUCCUGUACCACCUCCUCACCAUUUGAGCAAUGGGGGACGCAGGAGGAUAGGGUAAGCGCGGUAUUGGAUAUCCGCGUCCAAGCAGUUAGGCUGGGAAAUAGGCAAAUCCGUUUCCCGUGAAGGCUGAGCUGUGAUGGCGAGCGAAUUAUAGUAGCGAAGUUCCUGAUUCCACACUGCCAAGAAAAGCCUCUAGCGAGGUGAGAGGUGCCCGUACCGCAAACCGACACAGGUAGGCGAGGAGAGAAUCCUAAGGUGAUCGAGAGAACUCUCGUUAAGGAACUCGGCAAAAUGACCCCGUAACUUCGGGAGAAGGGGUGCUCUGUUAGGGUGCAAGCCCGAGAGAGCCGCAGUGAAUAGGCCCAGGCGACUGUUUAGCAAAAACACAGGUCUCUGCGAAGCCGUAAGGCGAAGUAUAGGGGCUGACGCCUGCCCGGUGCUGGAAGGUUAAGAGGAGCGCUUAGCGUAAGCGAAGGUGCGAAUUGAAGCCCCAGUAAACGGCGGCCGUAACUAUAACGGUCCUAAGGUAGCGAAAUUCCUUGUCGGGUAAGUUCCGACCCGCACGAAAGGCGCAACGAUCUGGGCACUGUCUCAACGAGAGACUCGGUGAAAUUAUAGUACCUGUGAAGAUGCAGGUUACCCGCGACAGGACGGAAAGACCCCGUGGAGCUUUACUGCAGCCUGAUAUUGAAUGUUGGUACAGCUUGUACAGGAUAGGUAGGAGCCUUGGAAACCGGAGCGCCAGCUUCGGUGGAGGCAUCGGUGGGAUACUACCCUGGCUGUAUUGACCUUCUAACCCGCCGCCCUUAUCGGGCGGGGAGACAGUGUCAGGUGGGCAGUUUGACUGGGGCGGUCGCCUCCUAAAAGGUAACGGAGGCGCCCAAAGGUUCCCUCAGAAUGGUUGGAAAUCAUUCGCAGAGUGUAAAGGCACAAGGGAGCUUGACUGCGAGACCUACAAGUCGAGCAGGGACGAAAGUCGGGCUUAGUGAUCCGGUGGUUCCGCAUGGAAGGGCCAUCGCUCAACGGAUAAAAGCUACCCCGGGGAUAACAGGCUUAUCUCCCCCAAGAGUCCACAUCGACGGGGAGGUUUGGCACCUCGAUGUCGGCUCAUCGCAUCCUGGGGCUGUAGUCGGUCCCAAGGGUUGGGCUGUUCGCCCAUUAAAGCGGUACGCGAGCUGGGUUCAGAACGUCGUGAGACAGUUCGGUCCCUAUCCGUCGCGGGCGCAGGAAAUUUGAGAGGAGCUGUCCUUAGUACGAGAGGACCGGGAUGGACGCACCGCUGGUGUACCAGUUGUUCUGCCAAGGGCAUCGCUGGGUAGCUAUGUGCGGACGGGAUAAGUGCUGAAAGCAUCUAAGCAUGAAGCCCCCUCAAGAUGAGAUUUCCCAUUCCGCAAGGAAGUAAGAUCCCUGAAAGAUGAUCAGGUUGAUAGGUCUGAGGUGGAAGUGUGGCGACACAUGGAGCUGACAGAUACUAAUCGAUCGAGGACUUAACCAA
rnacentral:rRNA from 1 species